rfam:Gasterosteus aculeatus cont1.006155, whole genome shotgun sequence.
GCCGAAAUAGCUCACGCCAGGGAGAGCGUCAGACUGAAGAUCUGAAGGUCCCUGGUUCAAUCCCGGGUUUCGGCA